rnacentral:rRNA from 1 species
AUUGAACGCUGGCGGCAUGCCUUACACAUGCAAGUCGAACGGCAGCACGGAGCUUGCUCUGGUGGCGAGUGGCGAACGGGUGAGUAAUAUAUCGGAACGUACCCUAGAGUGGGGGAUAACGUAGCGAAAGUUACGCUAAUACCGCAUACGAUCUAAGGAUGAAAGUGGGGGAUCGCAAGACCUCAUGCUCGUGGAGCGGCCGAUAUCUGAUUAGCUAGUUGGUAGGGUAAAAGCCUACCAAGGCAUCGAUCAGUAGCUGGUCUGAGAGGACGGCCAGCCACACUGGAACUGAGACACGGUCCAGACUCCUACGGGAGGCAGCAGUGGGGAAUUUUGGACAAUGGGCGAAAGCCUGAUCCAGCAAUGCCGCGUGAGUGAAGAAGGCCUUCGGGUUGUAAAGCUCUUUUGUCAGGGAAGAAACGGUGAGAGCUAAUAUCUCUUGCUAAUGACGGUACCUGAAGAAUAAGCACCGGCUAACUACGUGCCAGCAGCCGCGGUAAUACGUAGGGUGCAAGCGUUAAUCGGAAUUACUGGGCGUAAAGCGUGCGCAGGCGGUUUUGUAAGUCUGAUGUGAAAUCCCCGGGCUCAACCUGGGAAUUGCAUUGGAGACUGCAAGGCUAGAAUCUGGCAGAGGGGGGUAGAAUUCCACGUGUAGCAGUGAAAUGCGUAGAUAUGUGGAGGAACACCGAUGGCGAAGGCAGCCCCCUGGGUCAAGAUUGACGCUCAUGCACGAAAGCGUGGGGAGCAAACAGGAUUAGAUACCCUGGUAGUCCACGCCCUAAACGAUGUCUACUAGUUGUCGGGUCUUAAUUGACUUGGUAACGCAGCUAACGCGUGAAGUAGACCGCCUGGGGAGUACGGUCGCAAGAUUAAAACUCAAAGGAAUUGACGGGGACCCGCACAAGCGGUGGAUGAUGUGGAUUAAUUCGAUGCAACGCGAAAAACCUUACCUACCCCUGACAUGGCUGGAAUCCCCGAGAGAUUGGGGAGUGCUCGAAAGAGAACCAGUACACAGGUGCUGCAUGGCUGUCGUCAGCUCGUGUCGUGAGAUGUUGGGUUAAGUCCCGCAACGAGCGCAACCCUUGUCAUUAGUUGCUACGAAAGGGCACUCUAAUGAGACUGCCGGUGACAAACCGGAGGAAGGUGGGGAUGACGUCAAGUCCUCAUGGCCCUUAUGGGUAGGGCUUCACACGUCAUACAAUGGUACAUACAGAGCGCCGCCAACCCGCGAGGGGGAGCUAAUCGCAGAAAGUGUAUCGUAGUCCGGAUUGUAGUCUGCAACUCGACUGCAUGAAGUUGGAAUCGCUAGUAAUCGCGGAUCAGCAUGUCGCGGUGAAUACGUUCCCGGGUCU